rnacentral:rRNA from 1 species
CCUACGGGAGGCAGCAGUGGGGGAUAUUGCACAAUGGGGGAAACCCUGAUGCAGCGACGCCGCGUGGGCGAAGAAGUAUUUCGGUAUGUAAAGCCCUAUCAGCAGGGAAGAAGAAAUGACGGUACCUGAAGAAGAAGCCCCGGCUAACUACGUGCCAGCAGCCGCGGUAAUACGUAGGGGGCAAGCGUUAUCCGGAUUUACUGGGUGGAAAGGGGGCGCAGACGGCGAUGCAAGCCAGGAGUGAAAGCCCGGGGCCCAACCCCGGGACUGCUCUUGGAACUGCGUGGCUAGAGUGCAGGAGGGGCAGGCGGAAUUCCUGGUGUAGCGGUGAAAUGCGUAGAUAUCAGGAGGAACACCGGUGGCGAAGGCGGCCUGCUGGACUGCAACUGACGUUGAGGCCCGAAAGCGUGGGGAGCAAACAGGAUUAGAUACCCGAGUAGUC